CUCGAGAACAUGAGAACUGAACAUUCUGCAGUAGAAACCAGCCUACAGACUCAAAACAAAUUAUAGAUGUUGAUUUUCAAAAUGAAGUCCUGUUCAGAAGUGAGAACAAGUAUGUUGGCACUCCUGGGAAACCAGCUCUCUCCAGCGGUAUUUGAGUAUGCAGUGCUGUGAUACAAGAUCAGCUCACUGUGAUACAAGUGCAGAACGAAACCAGAAGAAUCUUCUUGAGAUCAGUGCCUAGCCCAGUCAUCAUCAGAGAGACUUCCUCAAGCAUCUGGGAAGAUGGGAGCAGAUGUAGAGACCCACAACCAAACACUGGGUGCAGAGAGAGCCAAAAUUGGAGAUCUUCAUCUGGUUCAACCCCUUAGAGCUUGAAGAACCCCAGAGAAGAGGCAAAAGAAGAAUUGUAGGAACCAGAGGGGUUAAGAAGACCAGGAGAACACAGCCCACAGAAUCAACUAAGCAGGACUCAUAGAGACUGAAGCACCAGUCAAGGAGCCUGCGUGGGUGUGUGUGGGGGGGUCCGGUCUAUAUAUGCUAUAGUUGUUAGCUUGGUGUUUUUGUGGUACUCAUAACAGUGGGAGUGGGAAGUCUCUGAUUCUCUCACCUACCCUUUGGACCCUUUUUCUCCUACUUGGUUGCCUCACCCAGUCCUGAUAUAAGGGUUUGUGUAUAGACUUAUUGUAACUUGUUAUGGUGUGGUUGGUUGAUGUCCAUGAUAGGCUUGAUCUUUUCUGAAGAGAAACUGAGGAAGAAUGGAUAUGAGGGAAGGGAAGA